rnacentral:rRNA from 1 species
UACGGAGGGUGCAAACGUUGCUCGGAAUCAUUGGGCGUAAAGCGCACGUAGGCGGCCUGAUAAGUCGGGUGUGAAAGCCCGGGGCUCAACUCCGGAAUUGCCUUUAAGACUGCAUCGCUAGAAUUGUGGAGAGGUAAGUGGAAUUCCGAGUGUAGAGGUGAAAUUCGUAGAUAUUCGGAAGAACACCAGUGGCGAAGGCGACUUACUGGACACAUAUUGACGCUGAGGUGCGAAAGCGUGGGGAGCAAACAGG